UUACCAGACUCCUACGGGAGGCAGCAGUGAGGAAUAUUGGUCAAUGGCCGAGGGGCUGAACCAGCCAAGUCGCGUGAGGGAUGACGGUCCUAUGGCUUGUAAACCUCUUUUGUCAGGGAGCAAAGGGCGCCACGUGUGGCGUUUUGCGAGUACCUGAAGAAAAAGCAUCGGCUAACUCCGUGCCAGCAGCCGCGGUAAUACGGAGGAUGCGAGCGUUAUCCGGAUUUAUUGGGUUUAAAGGGUGCGCAGGCGGAGGUGCAAGUCAGUGGUCAAAUUGCGGGGCUCAACCCCGUACUGCCGUUGAAACUGCAUCCCUUGAGUGCGCGAGAAGUAUGCGGAGUGCGUGGUGUAGCGGUGAAAUGCAUAGAUAUCACGCAGAACUCCGAUUGCGAAGGCAGCAUACCGGCGCGCAACUGACGCUCAUGCACGAAAGCGUGGGUAUCGAACAGGAUUAGAUACCCGUGUAU
rnacentral:rRNA from 1 species